rnacentral:lncRNA from 1 species
AUGUAUCUGAUCAGCACAAGCCAAAGAUUGCCCACAUGCGGCCGGGGAGCCUUGGGGCCGGCGGUGUGUGAGUGGCACAAACCCCCGCAGAGGGAGGGUUCUCGUUCAGCAGGUUCACUUCUGAGAAUCCACCAAAGUGAGGUCAAAAGCAGCGCUCGAAAACUUGAGUUCCAUGCUGUUUGCCUCCAAGUGCCUCCCAAGGAGAAAGCUGGUCAAUUCAUCGUGGCAGGUACAGACAACGGGACAGGUACAGACAAUGGGACAUCUAAGGACAAGGGGACAGGUACAGACAAUGGCCCAGGUAAGGACAAUGGGACAGGUAAGGACAACGGGACAGGUGUGGAGAACGGGACAUCUAAGGACAACGGGACAGGUACGGACAAUGGGACAGGUACUGUGACAAUGGGACAGGUACAGACAAUGAGACAGGUAAGGACAGUGGG